AGAAAUAAUUGGCACUAAACAAUAUGUACCUUCACGGAUGGAACACGUAUUUUAAGCGCGGGGCCUGAAAAAAAUUCAACCCGGUGGCGGUUUCUACUCACGCUCGCGCGUAGCUGAAAAUUUCAUUGUUCUCUACAAGUAGGCCCAUGGAGUAACCAAUCCGUCAUCUACUUCCGUUGACGCCCGUCCCUGCAUGAACUGUGCGAUUACCACCGACCCAUCUAUGAUCCUUAUCCCCUCGUACCAGUUCAUCCUCCCUACCGUUCCGAUCGCUUCCGGCCGCAGCCUCCACCACAUUAGACCGCAGAUCUAGACUCCCCACAAUCUCCCCAGUUCACCUGCAGUUUUGUGCAGCCGCCAUCUGAAACGCGGCCGCUACCUAACCCUAGAUUGCUAACAAUUCGAUAGUGCAGAAGCUCCGGCAGCCGCUGGGCCUCUUUGACCGCCUUCCUUGAGUUUUCAUGCAUCGGAGCCAGGUCCAUGACCCAUGUUCGCUACUUGCUACUCCGUCAACGACGUCUUUACCAAGGUUCAUUCUGCUGGGUGGGGAGCGAAGUCCUUGGCGUUUACAAGUUUUGGUGAGCUUCACCUCUUUCCCGUCUCUGUCCUGUGCCCUUGCAGGUGUAUUUUUGCAGUGAUGCGUUUGAUGUUUCUUUUACUACGCUGGAUGGUACACAGGAAAUGAACAAAAUUGAGCCUGGAACCUGGAUGAUGCGUCGAGGAUGAGCUGACACCUAUGACUAGUGUCCAUUGUCACGAACACCAAACUAGUGGGGAAUAAGCACUUCGUCAGGGAAAACGUACAGCCAUACAGAACGUUAUAUGAUUGGUAUGAAGACAUGGAUGCUGAAAACGAUCAGUUUUCCAUAUGAUUUUCUGGACAGAAAUUAUGUUUAGUGCAAGACCAGAAGAUCAGCAAGGACUUACAAUAUUUGGAUAUAAGCUAUGAACAUAUCUGAAGUUAGAAUAUUAGUAGAAUUAUAUAUAUGAGUUGUUAGAUUGUCAUAUUUUGAAUCAAGAUUGUAAGAUGUGUGUACUCUUCGGAUAAGUCUCAUGUAUUUUGAUAGUGGUUCGAAUAAUAUAAAUCGAAUUGUUUUGUCA